rnacentral:lncRNA from 1 species
AUCUUGUCACAGUUGCUGACGUACGUCGGUGUUGUGAGUGUGCCCCCACUUCUCAUAGUAGUUAUUCAGGAUCAUUCUGCCCCAUGGCAAGAUUACGCUUCCUGGGAAGAGAACCAGGACUUGCUGGCAGACUGGGACUUAAAAAAUGAAGGCUGUUACCCAGUGCUUUUCCUGUUAGAGCUGCCUAUAGAAACCUGUUUUUUGACUCUUUGCUGUGGGUUCUAUGUGUAGGUGGUUAAAUCAAGAGUGUAUCCUUUUAUCACAAUAAAAAACAAAGCCUAAUUGGCAGCAUAUUAGAGAAGAAAUCUCUGGGGUGGGAGUUGGGGAUUUUUCUGUUUUGUUUUGUUUGAAACAUAUUUUUAUUUUGUAGCUCUGGCUGUCCUGGAGCUCACUAUGUAGAUUUGGCUGGCCUUAGACUCUUCCCCUGUCUGCCUCCCAAGUGCUGAGAUUAAAGGUGUGCACCCCGACACCCCCACUCUUAAUGAAAAAGUUGUAAUAGAAACAUUUUCUUGUAAGCCUAAAUUUUAAUUAUGUUAGAGCUAUAUAAACCAGCCCUUUCUUCAGUUUCUAACAACUUUAGUUAACUAGAAAUACUAAGUCUUGAGUUAUGUUAGUGGCAGCAUUCCUUGAAUAAAUUCUUUGUGUAACUUAUUUCCCAAGCAAGUUUAGUAGAUCUUCUAUAAAAUCAGUUUAUUGCUCCCAGUUUUUCCUAGGUCACAGCCAGUGCUCAUAACAACUGUCUCCAGCUAUUUCAGAAGUAGAGGAUUGGGUUGGAGAGAUGGCUCAACAGUUAAGACAGAGCACUAGCUGCUCUUCAGAGAACCUGGUUUCCUACUUCACAGGGAUCCAGCACAUUCUUCUGACCUCCACAGGUGCCAGGCAGACACAUGGUGCACAUGUGUGCGUGUGGGCAAAAUACAUAAUU